rnacentral:lncRNA from 1 species
GAGUUCCUGGGCCAGGGAUCAGAUCCAAGCUGUAGUUGUGACCCACGCCAGAGCUAUGGCAACGUAUGCUCCCCCAACCUGAGCGUGCCAGGCUGGUUAUGGAACCUGCAUCCCAGCGCUGCAGAGACACUGCCUACGCUGCUGCGCCACAGUAGGAAUCCUCAAUCGCCAUUUAAAAAUGUUUCUCGGAGUUCCCGUCAUGGCUCAAUGGUUAACAAAUCCGACUAGGAACCAUGAGGUUGUGGGUUCGAUCCCUGGCCUUGCUCAGUGGUUUAAGGAUCCGGUGUUGCCGUGAGCUGUGGUGUAGGUCGAAGAUGUGGCUUGGAUCCCGAGUUGCUGUGGCUGUGGUGUAGGCCGGCGGCUACAGCUCUGAGACCCCUAGCCUGGGAACCUCCAUAUGCUGCGGAUGCGGCCCUAGAAAAGGCAGAAAGCCAAAAAAAAAAAAAGAAAGUGAUCAUUUGGAGUUCCCGUCGUGGCGCAGUGGUUAACGAAUCCGACUAGGAACCAUGAGGUUGCAGGUUCGGUCCCUGCCCUUGCUCAGUGGGUUAACGAUCCGGCGUUGCCGUGAGCUGUGGUGUAGGUUGCAGAUGCGGCUCGGAUCCCGAGUUGCUGUGGCUCUGGCGUAGGCCUGUGGCUACAGCUCCGAUUCAACCCCUAGCCUGGGAACCUCCAUAUGCGGCGGGAGCGGCCCAAGAAAUAGCAACAACAACAACAAAAAAAGACAAAAAAAAAAAAAAAAAUGUUUUUCCUCCUCACCCUUAAGGUGUUAACAUAUUAACAGAGCAUAUUAAGUACAGAAAACGGACACGGAAUUGUAAAGUAUUUCAGAGAAAAAGCACCUGCAACCUCAUCACCAAGAAGCAGCCACUGCUAGUGUGCUGGUCCACUGCUGGCCUGUUUCCUGUCAAUCUUUUCAAGGCCUGUGUGCACGUUAUGUCAUUAUUUAAGAAUGGGAAUUGAGGUGACAAUAUUCAGAGCAAGAGGCAGGUGCCUCAAUCAAAAGCCUAGAGGCCAGAAAAAAUGAAACUGGUGGCCUGUGAAAGGCUGAUGGGUACAGUGACAUGACAGCACAUGGGGAGUUCCCAUCGUGGCUCAGUGGAAAUGAAUCUGACUGGCAUCCAUGAGGACACAGGUUUGAUUCCCAGCCUCGCUCAGUGGGUUAAGAAUCCCAUGCUGCCGUGAGCUGUGGUGUAGGUCGCAGGCGUGACUCGGAUCAGGCGUUGCUGUGGCUGUGGUGUAGGCUGGUGAUCACAACUCCAAUUCGACCCCCAGCCUGGGAACCUCCAUAUGCUGCGUGUGAGGCCCUUAAACAACAAAAGAAAAAAAAAAUGGCAGCACGUAAUUCAGGUUUUACUGAAUAUCGGGCCCCAACCAAACAAGGUUUUGUGUGGGCUGUGGCCUGGGGGUCUGCAGUUUAGAGCUGCCGACCUGGGGCUGACGCUGUCCUUCCACACUGCUGUUUCACAAGCAUCUGCCUUCACCAACAGCCUCCAAAAGCAUAUAGUUUUCAAUUUCCAUCAUGUGGACGUGCCGUCAUUUACAGUCACUGUCUGCUGUGGCCUUUCCAGAAGGUUUCCAGUGGUCCCUUACUAAGCGCUGGGCUUUGGGUUAAAUGAGCCCCAACUACUACCUGACGUCAUGCUGCGCCCCCAUGGUGGCUAUUCGCUAAAAAGCAAACCUACCUCGGAGUUCCCGUCAUGGCGCAGUGGUUAACGAAUCCAACUAGGAACCAUGAGGUUGUGGGUUCGAUCCCUGGCCUUGCUCAGUGGGUUAAGGAUCUGGUGUUGAUGUGAGCUGUGGUGUAGGUUGCAGAUGCGGCUCGGAUCCUGCGUUGCUGUGGCUCAGGCGUAGGCCGGUGGCUACAGCUCCGAUUAGACCCCUAGCCUGGGAAUCUCCAUAUGCUGUGAGAGCAGCCCAAGAAAUGGCAAAAUGAAAAAAAAAAAAAAAAAAAAAAAAGCAAACCUACCUCUUCUUUGGGAGCUUAAUUUUCGCAAUGUAGCUCAGACAGUAGUUGAUUAAAUCUUGAAUCAGGGCCUCACCCAGGUGACCUUGAAUAUUCUAGAUGAAGAAAACACGGCAGUUACUUGACACAUGGUGGGAGGCAUCUUCAAAAUGCCUCUACAGCAAACCCAGGUCCUCAGCCGCGACGGGGUGGCGGGUCUCCGGGCCGGGCCACCCGCGCAGACAGGACACGGCCUCCUGCCCUGCUCCUUCUCUCCGCUGAAGACCUUAGGCGAACCAGGAAGGGCUUUAGUCAAAAGCAUCUUCCGCUUCGUUAUCAAGAUUUUUGUAUCCAUCACCUCUCAAGUGCUUCCUGGAAGCCCGCAAGAGUUUAUCGCCGCUGCUUUUAUUCAAUUAAAACAUCCACAGACACGGAGAGAAAAUGUGUUUGUCCCACUCUGGCCUCCUCUCAUGUCCAAAUGGAACGAUCUUAAUGGUAAUAAGAGCUGCACAGCUCUUAAAGAUGCCCGUGGCAAGGCCGCCCGCCCAAGUCCCUGCUGCCUGCCGGAAGGAUGAGAUUGCCGAUCCUUAAGAACAACUAUACACAUUGAGUUCCAAUGUGGAAGGUGUAACAGUCACAUGGCCUAGCAUCCAAAAUGCAGAGGUGCAGACUCGUGGCCACUCAGCUCCCACACAGGCCGCCCUGGGGCAGUCAGUGUCAAAGACCUUCGUAGAAGACACUUCGCAAGCAGCACGGAGCAGCUGGGAGGUGGAGAACUUACCUGUUUAGACACGAGUUUCCCAUCUUUGUAUGCUACCAAGCCAUUUUCUGGAAACACGUAAUCGUAUUUUUCAACCACUGCAAAGCAAAGAAUAUUGAGAACACAACGCACAGAAUCCUGUGUUUCUAUUUCUUAACACUCAUCGCCAAUAAAACUGCUCACCUCCAGAAAGGACUAUGAGAGGCUCUCUCAUCCAAACUGACUGGGAGAGUGGAAAAAAAGCUCCUUAAAAACUUCUUUUAAGAGGGCUCUUUAAAGAGCCCCCGCUGGGGCGCAGUGGGUUAAGGAUCUGGCUUGUCUCUGUGGCAUUGUGGGUUUGAUGCCCAGCCUGGCCCGGUGCACAGGGUUAAGGAGCCAGUGGGGCAUAGGUGGCAUAGGCAGCUGGGAUCUGAUCGCUGGCCUGGGAAUUUGCAUAAGGGUGGGUGCAGCCGGAAAAGAAAAAAAGGGAGGGGGGAUUCUCUAACAUAAAUUUAAAAGAUGAGGGAGUUCCCUAGUGGCCUAGCACUUAAGGAUCUGGUGGUGUCACUGCUGUGGUGAGGAUCUAAGCCCUGGCCCAGACACUUCCACAUGCCGUGGCUGAAAAUAAAGAAAGAAAGGAACAGAGGUGACAACGAGGCUGCAGACUGGACAGUCGGUGCUGGGUCCCCUCCCCCUGCAGCUCAUCUAGAAAGGAAAAUGGGCUCCCAAUGACGGCUCCCAACCCACUAAGAAUGUGCCUCAGCAGGGCAGCUGUGUGCAGCACAAUUCCAGAUUCUGCUCUCAAGCUUUCUUCCUUCCUUUUUAAAAUUUUUGGCCACGCCUGCAGCAUAUGGAGGUUCCCAGGCCAGGGACCGAAUCCAAGCUGCAUCGCGGAACCACUGGAUCCUCAACCCACUGCACCACAGCAGGGACUCCUCGAGGUUUCCAAAUCAGAAUCUGUAGGGCCAGAUGAGCAAUGAGGUUGUUUUUUUUUACAUGCAUUCAGAUUUGGAGACCACCGACAUAAAUCUUAACCGAGUCUCAAACUUCAGGCCCUUGUUAAAAGGCGGCACUGUCUGUUGGGUGAGGCCCCCGCAUCUGUAUUGUAAUGAGCUCUCCGGGUGAUUCCGAGAUUCCGACACGGGCGGGGGUGCGGGUGACACUUUCUUCUGGCUUGCAACUGUCUUGAUUCUGAGGCUUUGACUCAUACUCACUGAGAUGUGAGACCCUGGCCUACUCUGACAAAGCCUGAGUCUGUGGUGCAGUAUAGGACCAGAGGCAGAAAAGGUGAUCAGGAGCAGGCAACAGAAUUUCCAGGGCUUAAGGUGCUCCAUGCUGUUGCUCACAGUGUUUCUGCAGAGCACCUCCAGGGAAAACUACACGUGAAUGAAACAGAGUUUGAAAGGGACUCUGCAGAUGACUCUUUUGGUAACUGAUCCAAAACACACACCCUACGCAAGUGGACUGCAAGACAGCACAUCUAGAGCGGUGGUUCUCACUGGCGGGGACUGUGAUCCCUGGAGGACACCUGGCAGUGUCUGGAGAUAUUUUUGGUUGUCACCAUGGGUCUGGGGGCUCUACUGGCAUCAAGUGAGUAGAGGCCAAGCAUGCUGCUAAACACCCUACCAUGCACAGCACAGCCCCCGAUGACAGGGGGUGGUCUGGCCCCAAAUAAUUAAGGCCCCCACAGAAUGAACAACCUAUCUCUCCACCCACUAUUUUUUUUAAAGGCACUUAAUCUAUUUUUCUUUUUUUCUACCCAGUUAGGUGGAGGGUUUCCUGCCCUUUUUUGGAGGUUUAACUUCUCAUGCCAGCUCUCAGGAGUCGUUCCGUGUGAACUGUUCUGAAUGGAGAUGUGGUUUUGUUUGAUGUGUUUGUGGGAGAAGAUGAGCAUGAUGUCUUACUCCUCUGCUAUCUUGAUCCUUUCUUGGAUCUAUUUCUAAAGAAAGUUAAUCUGCUAGAUAUGUUGCCAGGAUCGACUAUCACCCACUAUUUCUUUUAAAAUUUUUGGUCACGCCCAAGGCCUGUGGAAAUUCCUGGGCCAGGGACUGGACCCAAGCUGCUGCAGUGACAAUGCUGGCCCCUUAGCCCGCUGUGCCACAAGAUAACUCCUUUUACCCACUAUUUCUUAAAGGCCAGGCACCGUGGAGAUGAAUAAUCCACAGUCCACGUCUUCUAACCAGUUUGCAGUCAUCAGAGAGUGCUACGCCAGCAGGCUUGUACAUCAGAAUCUCUUGAAAGUAGCUGCUGAAGUACAAUUCCAAGGCCUUGCAGCCCUACUGAGUCAGAAUCUCCAGUGAAGGGCAAAUAAGAACCUCCAGCUUCCUGGGGUCCUGGGCUAGAGAUGCCGGUUCACUAGGCAGGGAAGGAGCCCGGGUGACUCAAGACUAAGGACCUCCUGGGAGACUGAGGUCGGGCAACGGGGUUGGGGGGGGUGGGGGGGCGUGAAGACCCAGAGCUGACACCUCAACACCUGGGUGGGAAGGAGGCAGGAGGCUCGACGGGUGGUGAAUAGGGAUUGGCAAGAUGUUUUCCGGGCAGAGAAACACACAUCUUUCUAGGUGCAUUUAUCCGGGUACCUGAGUACCAACCGCUCCACUAGCAACUCCAGAAAUUAAUCUAUAGGAUUAAAAACAGGAACAAAAAAAGGCAGAGAAUAUAUUUCUCCAAACGAGAAAGCAGGACGCCUUGAGGAUGAUGGCGAGGGGCUGCCUCUGAUACUACGUGGCUCUAGGUCCCAGCAGCCUCAGAAGAAGCUAAUCUUUUACCAGAACGUAAUGAGCAAUGUGGAGUUUACCGUCGUUUCCCAGUUGCUCUUGUACUUUCUCAAAGUCCGACCCGCCCACGACGCCAAUUUUGAUCUUCUGCCUCAGUUCUUGUAGAAAGCAAUCCAUGUCUUCGGUAAUUUUCUGCAUUUCCAAAAGGAAAUAAAAGAGUGAAGAGCCACAAAAUAAUUGGGAGACUAAGACGGCAAGAGUAACAGAACCCUUGCCCUCCUCUCUGGCUGCCCGGCAGUGUACGGAGCUCCAAGACCAAGGAUCAGAUCCGAGCCACAGGUGCGACCUACACCACAGCUGCAGCAAGGCCGGAUCCCUGACCCACGGUGCCAGGCCAGGGAUGGAACCUGCGACUCCAUGCUCCAGAGAUGCCACUGAUCCUGUUGCACCACAGUGGGAACUCCAGAACCUGCACUUU